rnacentral:rRNA from 1 species
GCAGGGGAUCGCAAGACCUUGCGCUUUUGGAGCGGCCGAUGCCUGAUUAGCUUGUUGGUGAGGUAAAGGCUUACCAAGGCUUCGAUCAGUAGCUGGUCUGAGAGGACGGCCAGCCACACUGGGACUGAGACACGGCCCAGACUCCUAUGGGAGGCAGCAGUGGGGAAUUUUGGACAAUGGGGGCAACCCUGAUCCAGCCAUGCCGCGUGAGUGAAGAAGGCCUUCGGGUUGUAAAGCUCUUUCAGCCGGAACGAAACGGUUACGGUUAAUACCCGUAACUACUGACGGUACCGGAAGAAGAAGCACCGGCUAACUACGUGCCAGCAGCCGCGGUAAUACGUAGGGUGCGAGCGUUAAUCGGAAUUACUGGGCGUAAAGCGUGCGCAGGUGGUUUUGUAAGUCAGAUGUGAAAUCCCCGGGCUUAACCUGGGAACUGCGUUUGAAACUACAAGACUAGAGUGUAGCAGAGGGGGGUGGAAUUCCAUGUGUAGCAGUGAAAUGCGUAGAGAUAUGGAAGAACACCGAUGGCGAAGGCAGCCCCCUGGGUUAACACUGACGCUCAGGCACGAAAGCGGGGGGAGCAAACAGGAUUAGAUACCCUGGUAGUCCACGCCCUAAACGAUGUCAACUAGUUGUCGGGUCUUAAUAGACUUGGUAACGUAGCUAACGCGUGAAGUUGACCGCCUGGGGAGUACGGUCGCAAGAU